AUACGGAGGAUCCGAGCGUUAUCCGGAUUUAUUGGGUUUAAAGGGAGCGUAGGCGGGAGAUCAAGUCAGCUGUGAAAUGUAGAUGCUCAACAUCUGCACUGCAGUUGAAACUGGUUUUCUUGAGUGCGUAAGGGGCAGGCGGAAUUCGUCGUGUAGCGGUUAAAUGCUUAGAUAUGCCACAGAACGCCGAUAGCGGAGGCAGCUCGCCAGGCCUGCAUUGACGCUCGGGCACGAAAGCGUGGGGAUCGAACAGGAUUAGAUACCCUGGUAGUCCACGCCGUAAACGAUGGGCGCUCGUCGUCGGCGGCAGACAGUCGGCGGCCAAGCGAAAGCGAUAAGCGCCCCACCUGGGGAGUAUGGUCGCAAGGCUGAAACUCAAAGGAAUUGACGGGG
rnacentral:rRNA from 1 species